CUCAGCUCUAAACUGGGUGUUUUGCAAACAGCAUGAGUUACUAUGUAUCCAGGUAGGUGGGGUCAGCACACAGCGUCUCCUUGUUUUCCUGUCUUGUAAUAAUUAACCCCUUCUCUUGGGGGACUCCAAGUAAUUGCCUUUCCUGUAAACAGUUGGUAAUUGCAACUGUGUGGUGGUGGCCUGAGAAAGUGGGAAUGCAGAGAAAACAGCAUUUCUGGUUUUGAGGACCUGCACGUGCAGAAGCAGGAGUGUGGCAUGUGCAGGUACACACAGGAACUGCAGAAUCAGGACAGUGCUUCCACUGCCUAGAACUUGGCCCUGGGCAAAACAGAUCCGAAAAUGUCCACUUUAAUCUGGACUUGACCUCCAAGGUUAUGGACCCAACAGAGAGUCUAAAUCAGAAGAAUCUGAUUGGGCAGUGCCCCCGCCCCCAGUACUAGGGAUCGAACUCAGGACCUUGUACUUGCCAAGCAGGCGCAGCACCACUGAGCUGAAUUCCCAGCCCUGCACAUGCACUGUUGUUAAAGGACCCUCUCACACUGCUUCUUGGCCUUUCUGCUAAGAUCAAGUGUAAAAUAUCCUCUUUCUCACUGAGAACCUUACAGUGGCUUUACAUUGCCUUAGGAUAAAUAAACAUCAAUAGCAAAAAUUAUUGAGCAACCUUUUCACCUACUUUCAUCUCAUCCCACCCUUACGAUGCUGUCCUCCCUGCUCAUCAUCCGUGAAGUGGGAGCAGCAGUUCUUUCACAGGGUUAGGGCAAGCAUCCACUUAGUUGUAUCAGGCAACGUACUGAGGAAACAGCCUGCCCUUGGUAAAUUCUUACGGAGUUUAGCUGCGGGUUGGAGAAGAUGCUGUUCUGCAAAUAGGAAAAGAGCAACAGGAGCGUUUAAGACACUCACUCAGGCAGCUGGGCAUGGUGACACAUUGUAAUCUCAGCAAUCUGGGAGGCUCACAAGUUGGAGCCCAACCUGGGCAAUUUAGUGACUUAGCAAGACCCUGUCUCAAAAUAAAAAAUAAAAAAGGCUGUGGGAAUGUAUGUCAGUAUAUGCAGGCCUGGGUUCAAUCCCCAGUACCACAAGAGGAAGAACAAAAAGGAGGAGGAGGAAGAGAAAAAGGAGAAGAAAAAGGAGCAGGGGAAGAAGAGGGGGAGGAGGAAGAGGAAGAGACAGAAGAAGAGGAAGAGAAAAAAAGAAAGCAAAAACAAAAAGCAACCUGCCGUUUUUUUCUACAGCGGGAUUGGACCCAGUCCCAAUUCAGCCCUGGAGCCUCUUCCAUACCUGCCCUUGCCUCCACUCAGCAUGCACUGGGGCCCUCCUGCCUCUGCCCUUCCUAACAGUAACAUUCUAAAAUCCCUAUGGAAACACAAAAGACCCGGGGUAGCCAAAGCAAUCCUAAGCAAAAAGAGCAAGGUUGGGUACAGCGCAAUAUCUGAUUUAAAAUUUUACUACAGAUUAUACUAUAAAUUAUAGUAACAAAGUCAGCACGAUACUGGCACAAAAAUGGACUCACACACCAAUGAAAGAAUGGAGGAUGCAACCACAGCCAUCAAUUCCUGAUCAAAGGACCAAGAAUAUACUCCAGAGAAAAGAUGGCCUCUCUCACAAACAGUACCGGGAAAGCUGGGUAUCCACAUGUAGAAGACUGAAAUAGAUCCCUACCUCUUCCCAUGUAUAAAAAUCAAUUCAAACUGGGUCAAAGAUCUAGGUAUAGGUCCUGAAACUUUGAAACUUCUAGAAGAAAACAUAGGAGAAGCACUUGAAGCCAUAGAUACAAGCAAAGACUUCUCGAAUAGGACUCUAAUAGCACAAGGAAUAUGCAGCAAAAAUGAACAAAUGGGACUACAACAAAUUAAAAAUUUCUCCUUCCAAGGUGCCAAUAAGUACCAACAAGUAACAGAAUAAAAAGACAGCCUACAGAAUUGGAGAAAAUCUUUUCUGGCUAUUCCUCAGCAGAGGAUUCAUAUGUAGCAUAUAUAAAGAACUCAAAAAAUGUCACACCAAGCAAACAAAUAGCCCAACUAAUAAAUGAGCAAAUGAAUUAAACAGGCACUUCUCAAAAGAAGCACAGAUGGCCAGUUGUUAUAUGUAAAAGUGUUCAACAUUUUUAGACAUUAGAGAAAUGCAAAUCAAAACUAUAUUGAGAUUCUAUCUCAUCCCAGUCAGAAUGGCUAUCAUCAAGAAUACAAAAAGCAAACAAAGAAAAAACUCAACAAUGAAUACUGGUGAGGAAGUGGGGGAAAAGGAACACUUCUACACUGCUGGUGGAAAUGUAUAUCACUCUGGAAAUCAGUAUGAAGUUUCCUCACAAUAGUAAAAAUAAAACUACCAUAUGACCGAGCUAUACUUUGGUAUAUACCUGAAAGAAUUAAAGUCAACAUACUAUAGGGAGCCAGGGAUUUAGCUCAGUGGUUCCGCUGCCUGCCUUGAAAGCGCAAGGUCCCAAGUUCGAUCCCUGGUACCAAAAAAAUUUUUUUUAAAGUGAGCCUACUAUAGAGGUACCUGCACAUCCAUGUUUAUCAUGGCACAAUUCACAAUAGCCAAGAUAGGGAACCAGCCUAAGUGCCCAUCAACAUGUGAAUGGAUAAAGAAAAUGAGAUAUAUAUACACACAAUGAAAUAUCAUUCCACUAUAAAUCAGAACGAAAUUAUGUCACUUGCAAGAAAAUGGAUGGAACUUGAGAUGAUGUUGAAUGAAAUAAGACCAACUCAGAAAAACAAGUAUUUCAUGUUUUCCUUAAUAUCUGGAAUCUAAUAAAGAAGAUGGCAUGAAAGUAGAAGGAUGACUAUUAUUAGACAAGAGGAAGAGAAUAAGGGAGGGGAGGGAAAUGGGGAUUGAUAUGAUCAAAAUAUGUUAUAAGCACGUAUGAAAAUACCACAUUGAAACCCAAUGUUUUGUAAAAUUAGUAGGCACUAAGAAAAAUAUAUUUUAAAAAACAAAAACAUCCAAAUCCAUCCCCCCUAAAACAGAGAGACUGAACUGGGCCAGGCACAGUCAGUGUUCAUCCCUUUCUGUCUCCCUCUGCUCUGCCCCUGAUUCCUGACCUCCUGGAAUCACCUCUCAAUUGUCCUACGUGAACUCAUGACCUUGUCUCAAGGGCAGCUUCUGGGGCCCUCAAACCCAGGCCUUGGAGAUGGCUGUUUUCAUGGAGCCAGGGGAUGGCUGAGGGAUGUGGGGGCAGACCACUGGGUCCCAGAAGCAGCUGUGAAUCUGGGAAAAGCUGUCUCCAGGGAACCUUGCUGCAGCCCUCUUUUGCCCCACCCACUCCCUAGAGCUGAUUUCAUGCCCCAGGCUCCCUGAGUCCCUUCUGCAGAGCUGCCUACUGUGCACUUUGAAUCUUCAGGGGCCAUUGCACUGGGAUUCCAUCCUCUGCAAAUGUGCAGUGAGUACCCAUGUCCACCUGGGCCUCUCCCCAGGGAUAAUGUUUCUGCUUUCAGUGUGGGACUUCAAUAACUUGGGGAAGGAAGGAAAGAAAGCUUCACUGGACACCACUACAUAGUAGCUCUGCUGUCUCAUUUGAUCUUCAUAAUCCCCUGGGGAGCGAUUAUUGUCACAUUUCAGAUGGGGACACGGGGACUCAAGGAAGUGAACCUGCUAAGGUGGCCCCACUCAGGUGGUGGAGCUGGCUUUCAGUUGCUGGUCUGUCGCCAACAGACAAAGGACAGAUAUCUGAAGAUGGCGCAUGUACUCAGCUACCCUCUCUGACCCCUGUCUAGGCCCAGGCACAUAUUCAGUAGAUGAUACUUCAAAGGCCAUGGUUCCCUGCACUCUCAACUCUUGGGUAACAUUCUUGGUCUGCAUCCCCAGUGAAAUGUAGCACCCAGGCCUAGUACCUUUUCAAAAGAAGUCUGAGCCCUGUGCCUGUCACCUCUGUUAACCUGAACAUUACCCCUCCAUCUCUGACCCCAGGAUCACAUUUGCUUUUGAGACAGCCACAGCCUUGUGUGGGCUCAUGUGGAGCUCUGGGGUUAUCUAAAACCAACAGGUCUUUUUCACGUGGACUGCUGCCAAGUCAGGAUGCUUCCCAGGCCACUCUUCAUCUUUAUCCCCGAUGCAGGCUUGGGUAGGACAGUGGUUUUCAUAGUUAGGGUUAAGAUUACAACAAGAAGAAAUGCAAUAGGCAUGAAUUUCUCUGGAUGGCAUUGAUUGGCAAUUCAUGGGUUCAUAUCUGUGUGUCUUGUAUUCCUAAGCCAACUGCUGGUUCCCUCGGGGGAGGGGACACAGGCCUACAGGACCUGGCACAAAGUUUUGAAAGUAGUAGGUGCUCUGUGAGUAUUCCCAUUGCUUGGCUGAGGAACAAAGGCUCCACUCUCAAUUCCCCUUCCUGCCAUUGCCCCAGCAGCUAGCUAACUGUGAUACACAGAUCUCCUUCAUCUGGAUAGGAAGUAGCAGAGUGGCUACUUCCGGUUGCAGUGGCAGAAGUGUGGUGAGGAAGAAGAAAGACCAUGCAAAGAUAGGGUCUGAAUCCCAGGGCCAACACAUGACCACGAGCUGCUCUUUACCUGUAAAAAGCAGACUAUAAACAUCGGUAAUAUGGAUCAAACUCAUACCACAAAUGUGACCUGACCUUUAUGUUCAUGCAAUCCAGUGAAUUAGGGAUAAUGAAUAUCUUCAGUGUUGGAGGAUAAGACCCUGAAAUUGAGUAGUGAACUUAUUUACUCAAGAUCACAAAAGUAGAGAGUGGAAGAACUGGCAAUUGAGCCCCGGCAGUCUGCUCUGCUCUCAGCUACCAGCCAUGAUAAAUCUGUCACUUGAUAAAUUGUUGUACAAGGAAAUGGAAACCCACAGGUCAAAUGACCAUAGCACUGGCACAUAGUAAAUGCUCAGUAAAUGCUAGUUCAGUCCUCUGCUGUGUCUCAGUAGCUUCCCUUUGCCGUUGGGCAUUGUUGGGGCCAAGAGGUGGAAGCAGCAGAUUUAUAGAACCUCCUGACAGUGUGCGUUGCUAGAAGGGAAGACAGCCUGCCUGUGGGCUUCUGAUAAUGACUCCUGUUUCUCUGUGGAGGGUGAAGAACUCAUUCAUUCACAGGUCACCCCCACACCUUGCUCCCUCAUGCCUCACAUCAAUCUGUCACAGUUGUGCUGCUCUCCCCCUGUGUGCCCUGGCACCCAUCCACCUGCUGCUCCCCAACCCUCAUGACUGUCAGCCCUCCAGGCCAUGGGCAGCUCCUCCCUGGACCUCAGCAUUGGCUUUCAACCUGGGUGUGAGACCUCUGCUGACCUUGUCUACCUACAUAGCACUCUGCGAGUCCUUCUCACAUUCCGUGCUCAGGAUCCCCAGGAUGGCUCCAUCAUGGCAGGAAAAGGCCCUGAGAGAUCUGCAGAGGCCUCUUGGCCACAGCUGUCCAUCCCCUCUCAGAGCCCUCUGAACCUCCUGCAGGACUUUGCAGGUGCACUCUGCCUAGGACCCUCUGCCAGCUUCUCUCUCUGGCUGUCUCCUCCUCUCAUUCCUGACCAGCUCAUCUCCUCCUCUGUGUAGCUGUCCUGGUCUCCCUCUUUCCUCCAUCUUCAUUCCAGUCUACUUGUCCAUGUCAGCAGGGCUCCCAUCUUGCCCCAUCUCUGAGACCCAGCCCUGAGCCACAUGCCACAGCCUCUCUCAGUCCCCCAAGGGCCAUGCCUUGGCUGGACCCUGAGGAUGCAGAGGUACACGAGCCAGGUUCCUGAGCCUGAGUGGGAGGCAGGCCGGGACAGCAUGGGGGAUGUGCUGGCCAAACCUGGGUGCUUGGAAAGGAAACGGGGAAGACAGUAACCCUGCCUUAGGAGGGCUUUGUGGAGGAAGAAGUGUUGAUGUGAAGUUUUGAGGCCUCAGUAGGAGAUAGGAAGCCUAAAGGGGAUGGUGACAACAGGUGCUCGGUUAGUCCCCAGUGAGUAAGGCAUGCUGGGACAGCAGGGGGCUGAGCUAAGGUUUGAGUGGCCCUUGCAGACAGCUGCCCUGUGCGUGACCUGGACAGAGGACCUGGAAAGGCACUUGUGAGGGGAAGUCCCUUCAUGGACACACACAGGAAGACCAGGCUUGGGAACAAUGGGGUGAAGAGGUUGGUCAGGGACCUGUUAGGCUCAAGGAGCCUAUGGGCCCCCAACUGGGAACUGCUUGUGGGAAGGACACCCAAGUGCAGAUAAAGGCCAAGAGGACAGAGCGAGUGGGGCACAGGCAGGUGGGAUAAUGGAGGCACCUGGCUGGAGCACCAGGAAAGAGGAAGAGGGAAGGACCAGUGAGCUGGAGGAGGCUCUUGAGGUGACCAGACCAUCAUGACCCAGGCCCUGUGCCAAGGCUUUUAUGAACAUCACCCUUUAUCCUCCCAAUGAUCUGGCAACAGCCCCAUUCUUCCGAUGAGAACAUUUAGGCUCAGUGCUCGAGACCACAUAGCACUGGCUGAGGUACUCAGCAUGGGUGUGAGAGGGCUGAGCGAUGAUGUGAAUGAAUGGAUGAACAAGAGAAGCAAGUCCAAGCACAUCCUGCUGUCAGCCCAAGCUCUGGCCUGUCCCUGCUCCAUUGCUGGAAUUCUCUCUACCUCGAUGACAACACUGCCAUUCUCAGUGGUGAGAAGGAAGGACAGCAUCACCUCCCCUGAGUCUGAUGUGCCCUGGUCCCCCAGGCCUGUCCCCUGCACACAUCCACAAAAGCAUUUCCUCCCACGGGUCCCCCUUCCUGCUCCCCAGAAUGCCAGCUGUCUUCCAGGGCCACAGGGCUCUCAGGUCCUGCAUCCCUCUGAGGCAGGAACCUCAGACCACAUCCUUCCUCCCUUCUAGAAUCUUCCCUGAUGGCUCCUGGGGCAGCACCCUACCAGAUGCCCUUUUGAAGGCUCUGUUUCCUUUUCCUGCCUCAAGUUUUAUCAUUUUCUCCUAGAAAAUACUUGUCUUCCCAUUACCUUAAUCACCCCUCUUGAGCCCGGCGGGCAGGCCUUGCAGCAGCAUGAGUCCUGUUUUCUGUUUGCUGUGCUGGGAGAACAAACAGGAUUGUUUGAUUUACCUGUAUUCUCCCAGUAGGUGGACCCCUUACAGCAAGCACAGAGUAGACCUGCUUCCUGCCCUUUGACCUGGAGUGGACUGUGAAAUACUGAAAAUCCACCAGGCUUUGCUGAACCCAGGCAGGCUGGACCAGGCUGCCCUCUGGUUUUCUCUUGUGACACCAGGUGCCUGAACUUGAAUUGAGUUGCUCUGGAAUCCAGGAAGUAUCCAAUCUUCCUCAACUAGCACCCAGCCCUGGAAUCCCUAAAUAGACACAUCUGAGAGUGAGCCUUCACCAGGAGAGGGUUCCAGGGAUGAGGGGCAGGCUUAGGCAGGAAGCUAUGAUGGGGACGAGAUUUGAGUUUGCUGGGGUGAAAGGGCCCUGGUUUUGGAGCCAAACAGAGCUGGUUCAAGUUCAGUUACAGAUGAGCUACUUACGUUUGCAGUGCUAAUGGUUGAGCUGUUAUUUCCUUUUCAACAAACACGCAGUGAGCACUUGCUAUGAGCCAUCACUCUCAUCAUAAGAGUUGAGAUACACCAACGAGCAGAAGAUCUAAUAAUCUCCGACCUUUGGCAUUUGUAAUCCAGUGGAAGAAGACAGACAAAUGUAAUGCAUAAGAAUAACACGUAGCAAGUUAGAAAGGGUUUGAGGGUGCUUGGGAA
ensembl:lncRNA